UCCUCGGUAGCUCAAUGGUAGAGCAACCGGCUGUUAACCGGUUGGUUGUAGGUUCGAGUCCUACCCGAGGAGCCA
rnacentral:tRNA from 1 species